rnacentral:rRNA from 1 species
GAGGGAGAGCGGCCGAAGGUGAGCUCAGUGACUGGGGCUAAGUCGUAACAAGGUAGCCGUAGGGGAACCUGCGGCUGGAUCACCUCCUAA